rnacentral:rRNA from 1 species
UGGGGAAUAUUGGACAAUGGGGGAAACCCUGAUCCAGCAAUGCCGCGUGUGUGAAGAAGGCCUGCGGGUUGUAAAGCACUUUCGGCGGGAAAGAAAAGUCGUGCGCCAAUACCGCGCGACCUUGACGUUACCCGCAAAAGAAGCACCGGCUAACUCCGUGCCAGCAGCCGCGGUAAUACGGAGGGUGCAAGCGUUAAUCGGAAUUACUGGGCGUAAAGAGCACGUAGGCGGGCGGCUAAGUCGGAUGUGAAAUCCCUGGGCUUAACCUGGGAACUGCAUCCGAUACUGGUUGCCUAGAGUAUGGAAGAGGGAAGCGGAAUUCCAGGUGUAGCGGUGAAAUGCGUAGAUAUCUGGAGGAACAUCAGUGGCGAAGGCGGCUUCCUGGUCCAAUACUGACGCUGA